ACCCUCCAGCUCUCUUUCCCAUCAGAUCUGAACACUGGUCUUGUUGGUUGUAAAGGAGGAAAAGAAAUGCUGAAGCUGGCCUCACAGCCUUGUAGUCUGGUAUGUAGCAUGUGGGCUAGUUUCAAACAAGG
rnacentral:snoRNA from 1 species